rnacentral:lncRNA from 1 species
CUGUCGAGCAGAGAUGGGAAUGUUAAUCAAAGAAAGUUUCGGGGUCCGAAAAGAAAAGACAAGAGAGAAUAACCCCCAGCUAAAACGCAAAGUGUUUGUUGGCUAGGGUUGAAGGAAAGAAUAGCCGGUUUGUGGGUUGUUAUUCCCAGCAUGGGCCUGUGGCAUGUGUGCCGGUUCAUUUAUCAUUGUUUUGUUAUCUUCGCCGAUACUGAUAGGUAUGAAGAGUUUUCCGGUAUUCAGACCGAAGUGGCGUUCAGGCCAAGUUUCCGAUUUUCAGAUCGAAGAAGUUUCUGACGAUUAGGUCGAAGUAC